rnacentral:tRNA from 1 species
AAAGCGCCCCAUACUGUGGUGCCUGGCUU